GUUUCUUCCAUCGUACGGUAAAAACGAAUUUUGACAAGCCGAAAACGAACGAGAGCAUCCACAGAAGCAAACAUAACCGCAACUUGAAAAAAAUUUGUUCGUUGAAACUUCAAAUUGAGGUUGUGUUGCCUUGUCUGUGGAUGACGAUUGACAUUUUGAACGGCCUUGGAAGAAACCUAUAUGAAUGAGUGACGGCUUGUUUGCUCUGAAGAU